rnacentral:lncRNA from 1 species
AUUUUUUCCAGGGAGACAUUAAAGAAAAUUUCUAUCACCCAUAACUUUUCAAGAAACACCAGCUGUAGUUUCUCAUGAAUUUAUUUUUUUUUCUCUUGCAAAGGUCCCUGUGUCAGUUCUGCUAAGGUGGCAGGGGAUGACUGGUGGCCCUUACCUCAAUGUUUGUCCAUGUGCUUUACCUCAAAAGGAGAUAAUAACAAUAUACGAGUGUUUUUAUUUCCCAAUUCCCACUUUUUGCCUUUAUCUUUGUAAGUAAGUUCAUCACUGUCAGCAUACAGAGCAAGACAGAUUUGGUAACCAGGUUCAAAGGACCAAUCCAUCCUUAAUGGAAAAAGACCAAACUGUAUAGGAACCUGCUGUGUAAUGGAACAUUGACUUCACUUUUACAUUCAAUAACUUAGACUAUCACAGGUCCUCAGUGUUGGGCCUCCCCAAGCUCAGUGCCACUCUGAGCUUUCUUUCAGUGGUUCUCAUGCAAUCUUGCAUUGCCUGACCUGCUUCCUUGCUUCAUUUUUAUGUCUCUUCCCUUUCUUCCUCCUCUGUUUCCCCUUCCAUAGGCUUCUAUGCUGUCUCCUGGUCUUUUAAGUGACUGACUGAAAAGAAGUGAAUGAGUAUUAUUCUAGUAAAGUGAACCUUCUCUGUCAGAUAUCUUCAAGCUGCUGAGAAGAUCUUGAGGAGACAGCCUGAGGUAGGAACAGUAAGGACAGCAAAGAUCACAACUCUUCUGGCUCUUCUGCAAGUGCUCCCAGAUGGCAGCUCCUACCUCUGGCCACUGGUACUCUGGAUCCCUGUUUGCUACCCUUGUUCUCAUUGCUGCCUGGCCUCAAGAGAGAAACCUUCCCAACUGGUGAUCAGCUUGGUGCAACCACAGUCCCUCUUAGCUGCUGCUGAUUUUCCUUUGGCCAUUUCUGAGAAUUUCUGGAGUGAGUUUGCUAGUUCUACAAAGAUCUCUCAAACUGUCCAGUCAUUAGAGACCGUGGAAGGAUUACAUUUGGAUAAAAACCAAAAUACCACAAAAUCCAGUGGAAGGCUUGACCCUGAAGUGUUGAAAACGUGAUUGUGGAGUGAAGCACAAACGUUCUGGACUUCAACCAGGACUUCGCUUUUCAUAUACAACUGCCUGGUUUCAGCACGUGAUGGAUCUCAACUUGCAAAUGGCAGAGUACUCAUAGCCAGGUGAGGACUGAUUUUGCCAGCCUCUGAUGACCUCUCAGCAGCACCAAGUGAGGGCACACUCCUGC